rnacentral:rRNA from 1 species
AUUGAACGCUGGCGGCAGGCCUAACACAUGCAAGUCGAACGAGUGGCGGACGGGUGAGUAAUGUCUGGGAAACUGCCCGCUGGCGGGGGAUAACUACUGGAAACGGUAGCUAAUACCGCAUACCAUCGGAUGUGCCCCGAUGGGAUUCGCUAGUAGGUGGGGUAACGGCUCACCUAGGCGACGAUCCCUAGCUGGUCUGAGAGGAUGACCCGCCACAAUGGAACUGGGGUACGGUGCAGACUCCAAAGGGAGGCAUCAGUGGGGAAUAUUGCAAAAUGGGCGCAGGGCUGAUGCAGCCAUGCCGGGUGUAUGAAGAAGGGCUUCGGGGUGUAAAGUACUUUCAGCGGGGAGGCGUUACCCGCAGGAGAAGCACCGGCUAACUCCGUGCCAGCAGCCGCGGUAAUUC